rnacentral:lncRNA from 1 species
AGCACGCAUGCGCCACAUCCUUUCUUCCCAAGUGCGGAAAGAGCUGGUCACACAUUUUACACGUUGCAGUGUAACUUGAGGAGCCAGAUGAAGAUGGCUACAGCUAGUGGAAGGGAUCAUAAUAUUUGCCACUGGACAUGGGAGACAUGAGAAGUACUGAUGAAAAAAAAUGGUCUUAGGAUUACCACUAGAAAAAGGGGGCCCUGAGAAGUGCAGAUGAAGACCGGUAACUAUAUAUUAU